GGAGCUAGCCGAAUCCACACAAGAAUCGCAAUCCCCACCUCCUCCUGAGAGCAGAUAGAUACCUCUCCCUGUCCGUGUCUCCUCUCCAGGUCCAGGACAGGAUUAAUCAAUGAAUCAAUCAGCUGCAGGCCUGCGCCUGAUUUCCCAUUAUACUAAUGCUAUUAGCGGCAAGGCAACCGUUUGGUUUGGGGCCUCUUCCCUCCCUCCGAAGCUAGCUUAGCUUAAACAGAACAGGACGGCUUGCCAUUUGUCCCUCUCUGGGCUUGGAGCUUUCCUUCUUCUUCCGGCGCUAGCUGCUCUUGAUUUGCUUUGCUUUGCUGGGGGAGAGAGAGCGCUCUCCAGAUCGAGCAACAACCCACGACUCCUCAGGUUGCGGUUCCACGACGGACGAGCAAAAAAAAUAAAAUAAAAACUGGUGACCUGAGUAGGGUUUAUCCGCUCCAAAUUGCGGCGGCGGAGGGUCGUCCAGGGGAGAGAUGAAAUCCUCCGCCAAUUUCCUGUCGAUCCUGGUGCUGCUGGUGUUCCUGGCCGCGGAGAAUGCGCGGGCGCAGCCCCAGCCGAUCCUCAUAAACUGCGGCUCGGAUUCCACCACCAGCGUCGAUGCCAGGACAUGGAUUGGGGAUUCUUCCCCUUCCAACAACUUCACGCUCAGCUUCCCCGGGGCCAUCGCCUCGGCGGCUCCGGCUCCGGCUCCGGGAGUUGAUGGAGAACAAGACCCGUACGGAGAUUUGUACAAGACCGCCCGUGUCUUCAACGCCUCCUCCAGCUACAGGCUCGCCGUCGCCCCCGGGAGCUACUUCCUCCGCCUCCAUUUCAGCCAGCAGUUCGCCAAUCUCGGCGCCCAGGAGCCCAUCUUCAGUGUCGCGGCAAAUGGCCUGAGGCUGCUCUCCAAGUUCAGCGUCCACGGAGAGAUUUCUUGGAGGGAUUCUCAGAUCAACUCAACGAGCAGCGUCAUCGUCAAGGAGUACCUUCUCAAUGUCACUUCUGGUAAACUGGGCAUUGAGUUCACCCCCGAUGAAGGGUCCUUCGCCUUCAUCAAUGCCAUGGAGGUUCUACCUGUGUCUGGCACCUCAAUUUUUGAUUCAGUCAACAAGGUGGAUGCUCAUGGGUUGAAAGGCCCUUUUAGCCUCGACGGCGACGGGAUCGAGACCAUGUACAGGCUGUGUGUGGGAUGCAUCGAUGUACUGCCGAGGAAAGAGGAUCCAGGAUUGUGGAGGAGGUGGGAUAAAGAUGAGCAUUUCAUAUUCUCUCUCAACGCCGCGAAUUCCAUCUUCAACUCUUCCAACAUAAGUUAUGUGUCUGCUGAUGAUCCCACAGUAGCCCCUUUGAGGCUCUAUCAGAGUGCAAGGGUGCCAACAGAGAGUUCGGUCUUGGGAAAGAAGUUCAAUGUCUCAUGGAGCUUUAACAUUGACCCUGGCUUUGAUUACUUGGUCCGGCUGCAUUUCUGCGAGCUGCAGUAUGACAAGGCUGAGCAACGCAAGUUCAAGAUUUACAUAAACAACAAGACCGCUGCAGAGAGCUAUGAUGUGUUUGCCAGAGCUGGGGGCAAGAACAAGGCCUUUUAUGAAGACUUCCUUGAUGCUGCCUCACCUCAGAUGGACACUCUUUGGGUUCAGCUGGGGGCUGAGUCUUCAGCAGGUUCCGCGGCUGCUGAUGCUCUUCUCAAUGGCAUGGAGAUCUUUAAGGUCAGCCGGGAAGGAAAUCUUGCCCAUCCAACCGUCAGGAUUGGAGGCAUCAGUGGUGGUGCAAGCAAACCAAAACGGAGCCCCAAGUGGGUGCUAAUUGGUACUGCUUCCGGUCUGAUAAUUUUUAUCGCAAUUGCUGGUGGUCUUUAUUUUGGUUUCAAUCUGCGACGGAAGAAAAAUAGUUCAGCCAGCAAAGCCAAGGACAAUCUCCAUGGUGCUACACAUACGCGUUCUCCCACUCUUCGCACAGCUGGGGCAUUUGGGAGCAACAGGAUGGGCAGGCGGUUCACCAUUGCAGAAAUCAGAACAGCCACCGUGAACUUUGAUGAGUCCUUGGUGAUUGGGGUUGGAGGCUUUGGCAAGGUCUACAAGGGUAUAAUGGAGGAUGGCACUCGGGUGGCAAUUAAGAGGGGGCAUACAGAUUCUCACCAGGGUCAGGGUGUGAAGGAAUUCGAAACUGAGAUCGAGAUGCUCUCAAGGUUGCGGCACCGGCACCUUGUGCCCUUGAUUGGCUAUUGUGAUGAGCAAAACGAGAUGGUCUUAGUUUAUGAGCACAUGGCAAAUGGCACAUUAAGGAGCCAUCUUUAUGGAAGUGACCUUCCUGCUCUUACAUGGAAGCAAAGGCUUGAAAUAUGUAUCGGCGCAGCACGAGGGCUUCACUACCUUCACACCGGGCUUGACAGGGGUAUAAUCCACAGGGAUGUCAAGACUACCAACAUUUUGUUAGACGACAACCUUGUUGCCAAGAUGGCAGAUUUUGGCAUCUCAAAAGAUGGUCCAGCUUUAGAUCAUACUCAUGUUAGUACUGCUGUCAAAGGGAGUUUUGGUUACCUCGAUCCAGAGUACUAUAGGAGACAGCAGUUAACGCCAAGUUCAGAUGUGUACUCUUUUGGUGUCGUGCUGUUUGAAGUGCUGUGUGCUCGACCAGUCAUAAAUCCAACCCUGCCAAGAGACCAAAUAAACCUUGCUGACUGGGCUCUGAACAGGCAAAGGCACAGGUUACUUGAGACCAUAAUCGACCUUCGAUUGGAUGGAAAUUACACACUGGCGUCCGUCAAGAAAUCCAGCAAGAUAGCAGAAAAAUGCCUGGCAGAUGAGGGGGUGAACCGGCCUUCGAUGGGCGAAGUCCUCUGGCACCUAGAGAGUGCUUUGCAGUUGGAACAAGGUCAUCCGCAAAGCACAAAUGCUGAUGGUUGUUCAGACCCUCAACUGAAGCCUUCUGAUGUACCUACCCGUGUGGCGUGCAUCAAAGAAGAUGAGCAAUCCACUCGUCCAGGCUCCCACAAUUCAGAUGGGCAAGUUGUUGAUGUCAAGAUUGAGGUGCCAUGAUACAGAAGGGCUUUCGAAGUUUCAAGCAAAAUGAAUAGGAUGAUGAUCGUGCUGAAGGCUGGAUGCGCUGGAGCUGCGACUGCCCAGAAAAUGGCGAUGGAGAUGAUUUCAGAGCCAUAGAAGCCAUGAUUGAGGUCGCCAUGCGAAUAACAGAUCAACUGAAGAUGAUAGAACUUGAAGGAAACAUCUAGGUGGUGACAGUAUAGUCCUGAGAGUUCCGCUUCCAUCUUCACUGACAGAGAUAUGUAGUUUGUUCGUUUGUGAAUAAUUUCAUAUCGUUCGAGUUUCAGAUAACUUAUCGUCAACUGUGCCAUAAUAAUCCGAAUAUUUUUUUAAUAUAUGUAGAAGAAGAUUAUCCUUUGCAUCUUUUUAGGGCUCUCUCCGGCUAGACUGUUCCAUCUUGGACAGCAUUUGUAAAUUAAAACAAUGUCUUUCUUAGAAUUAUUUCGUGAAAACCUAUCUUUGUUAGUAUUGUAAGCCUUUUUCGUCAUAUCUAGUGUCGUUAAUGGCUUAAGGCUGCAACGUUUAGUUGCAGAAACAAUGCCAUAAAUAUAGUAAAUACUUCUUUUUCUAUUGGGUGCGGAGGACAUGUACUUUCUUGAUGUGCACAAUGCUUUAUGACCAUAUAUAGUUUUGAUAGAGGGCUAUGCCAAAUAGCAGAACCCUGCUCAAACAACUACAGUGUUGUUAUAGCCAGCAAUUUAAAACAUUGAAUAUUUUUUUCCGAAAAGGAGGAUAACCCCGGCCUCUGCAUCAGAACGAUGCAUGCAGCCAUAUAUUAUUAAUAAUGCAAAAUUCAGCAGUCGAACACAAUCGACCCGGAAAUAAAGCGGAAAACGAACCCUGAGGCCGUAUACCUCGCGACAGUAACUCCCCAGAUAGCCACCAACCCUAUGAUACAAGACACAACAGAAACGAAAAAUACACAACUCCUAGGCUACGCCUUCAAGAAGGAAUGUGAGUCCACCACAAGGUUGAACUCCGGAUUCUCAUCCCCAAAGCCAAGCUUCAAUCCACCAUCUUCAGCAAGGACACGACACAGGCGCGCGCCGACAUAGCCCGAUCAGAGAUCUUGUAUUUCCACCGGAGUGCAUAAACUCGUCAUUGAAGCCAUCUGUAUCAUUCGCCCUUAUCCGUCUACCGACACCUCGGUAGCCGGAUACCUCUGGAGGAGACAACGGAAGACAAAGUCGUCCCAUACCGCCUGCCUCCCGCUAUUGUCGCACCACCUUCGACCCAACAACAACAGGCUAAACAUGACACCUCCGCCAGAGCCACCGUGCAUCACCUGCCGGUAGCAGGCAUGACUUGACGUCUCUGUAUAAGACGUUGUGCGUAGCAUCCGCCGGUAGCGCAUCCACCGGUGGCUUCACCUGCCGAAGUCAGGCACCGCCCGACAACUCCGAAAGAGGCACAUGUGUCACCUGCCGAGCCGCAUCGAACUCGAUCUGUUGAUGGAAGGGACGUCCCUACCGCCACCAGCCUCAGAAGGCCGUCACCACCUCGAGAUCCAGACUCCGAGUCGCCUACACGACCCCGGAGUCCGCCACUGUUGAUGAAGAGGGGCCGCCGCCCCGAUUCUGGGUGCUACAGUGAGCACCCACCGUUGCGCCAGCCGCUCGUCGCCCAUACAACGGCAACCGCCGCCCGUGAUACCGCAUCAAGCGCCAUCGACGCCGGAGGAAGCUUCGGCCGCCACGCGCGUCCUGCGACGAGCCCGGGCACGGGAUCCCAAUAUCCGCCACCACCGGCGCCGCCAUAAGGACCCACCUCCUGGCCCGUCAUCCCCGGUGGAGGGGACACCGCCACCACCAUGGACGGAUUUGAGCUAGGCGUCGCCGCCGCCACCGCCAUCGGCCACGCCUAGCCCCACCUCCAUCCUCAGGCCACGCACAUCCGAACUCCACCCGCGCCACCAAGAACCACCGCCGGGUGCCGCCGCACCGCCGUGGAUUGAGGGAGAGGCCGCCCCCACCGGAUCCAGUGCCCUCGUCGCAGAUCUGGGAGAAGGAGGAACAACCCUCCGCCACCGCUGGCCAACGCACGGGCUUAGUCCCGCGCCAACCCCAGGCGGCGACGGAGGGGGGGGGAGAUCGAGAGGGUCGAUGGCGGCUGGGCUGUCACCUCUCGUGUCGCCCGCUAGGGGGGUGACGCGAGAGGGUCGAUAGGAUUGUGAUGUACUGCCUUAAAACGUUGAAUAUGAUACUUGUUGAGUGCUUUGUAAUAUCCAGCAAUUAUAUGCAAUAUAUGGUUUUUUUAAAGGAGGAUUACCCUCAGCCUCUGCAUCUGGGCGAUGCAUGCAACCAUUUUAUUAAUUAUUCACAAAGACCUUACAAAGUAGUACAUCAGUCUGUCCGAGCCACUAUCUUAGCAACAAUUGUCGCUAUUCCUAACCACUUGAUGAAGGGUGCCGAUAGUCCGAGCCUAAUAUCAAACAAACAUUGCACCAAAGCCUAACAUCUAAAGCCGGAGGCCCCAACCGAGCCACAUACUGGGUUUGGGGUACAAACCGGUCCAACGCACUCUCAUGUGUCGUCGCCGCCGUCUUCCACCAAUCUAUCUUCACAACAGAAGCUAACACACUGAGCUUGCCAGGCCUCUCUGCCAUCAACGCCACCAUGACGCCAGACAGCGUCCUCCUGCGCGAGUCCAUCUUCGCGCAUCAGACACCGAAUCUCCACUGCGCCAUGCCGCCGAGAUCCGCCGCCAUCAAUGAGUAAGAUGAAGCACUGCUCCACCAAAGAAGUCGUCCACUGGUCCCUUGAGCCCGUGUACACCUCCAAGAAUGACGCCCCCAAGGGGGAAACGACGCCAGAGAGCCGUCGUCAUCCGAUCUACUGAUCUAGGGUUUCCUCGGAGAUAGUGGAUAGAGGUAUGGAGCUUCUCCACGGCAAUGCCUUCAAGAAGGUAAUGACACAAAACAGUGCCGCCAUCAUUGGCUUGGCAACAAGCCGAGAACGAGGUUUUCACCCGGAUCCGCUCGACGAACCUCCGUCUCGCAUCAUGCGCAUAGACCACCACCGAUCUCCGCAGCCGCGGAGCGAGCAAGCCACUCUGGCCAGAUCAAAUCUGACCGGAGGGCCAACCACGCCCGCAGCAGACCAGCCCACCAAAGCCCUCCAUGUCGCCGUCGAUCCGAGAUGUCGUAGCGCCGCGACUAGAUGCAGCAGCUCCACCACUAGUCAUCCGCCACCGCUCGCUGCCGGGAGCGAGCCACCGCUGCGGAGGCUCGGAUCUAGGGGCGCACUUCCGCUUGCCCGGGUGCCCCGCGCCACCCUCGUGCACGAGAAGGAGAUGCUCCUCCACCACCGCCGUCAGCCGCCCGGGCUUAGCCCGGGGGCUUCCUCCAGCGGCGGCGGAUGGGAGGGGUGGGAUGGGGAUAGCCCGGCGGCUAAGGUUGGGGCCCCUCGGCCGCCCGCGCGGGGGGCGGCGGAGGGGAGGGAUGGGAUGGGAAAUAUGUAUCGUCUUUAUCUUCAUCUUUUCUUGCAGAAUUAAACUCUGUUAAACUCUAUGAUGACUCAAGUGCCAUUGUAGAACUUGAUAACAUUUGUGAGAGAGCUUGGCACUGAAACUUUAAUCACGCUUGCACCAUGCUGCUUAGAACAUUACUAAUUAAUUAUGGGCAUUUACUGAUUUGCGGGUAGUGAUAUUUGCAUCCAUUACAUAUGUCGUGACGGUUAUAAUCCGCACUACAUAUACACAUCGUUUGGUGCAUAGCUUGGUUUGCUGCACGUAGGCUUCAGGAAGCCAAGGCACUAGUAUUGUAGACAAGAAGAGCACCGCCCAGCAGAAUUCCAGCAAGAGCCCAGAGAAACAGCCCUGUCUUUCCUGUAUAGCAUAAAUCAAGAUAGUAAAAAAGGUCAAAAUUAAUGAAUUUAAGAUACAGUAAACAUUUUAUGAUGCGCUUAAAAGAAACGCCAGUCUACGCGUACCUCCAACAUAAACGUCACCGCUUGGAGACCAUUCUUC